UUUUUUUUUUGGUGAAAUUCCAAUUUCAAGCGAUUCCAAUUCCAUGAUCCAAUAUCAUCGCAUAGCCUAUACCAUGUCAAUGCUUUUCCUUUCAAAGAUAAAGGGAAAACCUUUUUCAACACCUCAUCUCGGGGUAGACCUGCAAGCUUAAACAAUCCACAAAUUUGUUCCACAUAUAUCAAGUGCAUAUCAGGAUGUUCUGUUCCAUCUCCUCCAUAAGGAUUAGCUAGCAGUUGUUCUAUCAUACCUGAAGGAAUUUCAUAUUCAAUAUUUUUAGUAGGUGUGGUAGGUUGAGGGGUAGCUAAUUGUGGUUCCGAACAAGGUGAAGAUACCCCGAACAAACCCCUCAAAGGAUUGUUUUCCAUAGUAACAAGUGACAAAAAAUUUCAGCACACUAUAUAAAUGUUUCCUUACCGAAUUCCACUUACCAAAGGCGCUUCACUCCCCGGCAACGGCGCCAGAAAAUAACCUUGAUGACCCACAAGUAUAGGGGAUCAGCUGUAGCUCUUUUUGAUAAGUAAGAGUAUCGAACCCAACGAGGAGCAGAAGGAAAUGACAAGUAGUUUUCAGUAAGGUAAUGUCUGCAAGUGCUGAAAUUCUAAGUAGCGUAGCAGUUUGAUAGCAAGAUAAUUUGUAACGAGCAAGUAACGAUAGUAGUAACAAAAGUGCAGCAAGAUAGCCCAGUAUUUUUAAGGCAAAGGACAGGCCAAAACGGUUUCUUAUGAUAAGCAAAGCGUUCUUGAGGGUACACGGGAAUUUCAUCUAGUCACUUAUCAUGUUGGUUUGAUUUGUGUUCGCUACUUUGAUUAUUUGAUAUGUGGGUGGACCGGUGCUUAGGUGCUGUUCUUACUUGAACAAACCUCCUACUUAUGAUUAACCCUCCCGCAGGCAUCCGCAACUACGAGAAAAGUAUUAAGAAUAAAUUCUAACCAUAGCAUUAAACUCUAGGAUCCGAUCGGUCCCUUACGGAACAGCGCAUAAACUGGGGUUUAAGUUUCUGUCACUCUCGCAACCCACCAUCUAAUUGCUACUCCACAAUGCAUUCCCUUAGGCCCAAAAUAUGGUGAAGUGUCAUCUAGUCGACAUUCACAUGACACCACUAAGGGAAUCACAACAUACAUACUAUCAAAAUAUCGAACACAUAUCAAAUUCACAUGAUUACUUGCAACAUGACUUCUCCCGUGACCUCAAGAACAAAAGUAACUACUCACAAAUGAUAAAUAUGCUCAUGAUCAGAGGAGUAUUAAAUAGCAUAAUGGAUCUGAACAUAUAAUCUUCCACCAAAUAAACCAUAUAGUAAUCAACUACAAGAUGUAAUCAACACUACUAGUCACCCACAAGCACCAAUCUAUAGUUCCGACAACAAGGUUGAAUACAAGAGACGAACUAGGGUUUGAGAUGAGAUGGUGUUGUUGAAGAUGUUGAUGGAGAUUGCCCUCCCCAAGAUGGGAGAGUUGUUGGUGAUGAUGAUGACGAUGAUUUCCCCCUCCGGGAGGGAACUUCCCCCGGCGGAAUCGCUCCGCCGGAGGGCAAAAGUUCUCCUGACCAAGUUCCGCCUCGAGACGGCGGCGCUCCGUCCCGAAAGCCUUCUCCUUUUUUAAGGUCAAAAUGACUUAUAUACCAGAAGAUGGGCACCGGAGGUGGGCCGAGGAGGGCACAACCCACCAGGGCACGCCCUCUGGUAGUUAUUUGCUCCAAUAUUUCUUAAAUAUUCCAUAAAAAUUCUUCGUGAAGUUUUGGCUCAUUCGGAGUUGUGCAGAAUAGGUAGCCUGACAUAGCCUUUUCAGGUCCAGAUUCCCAGCUGCUGGAAUUCUCCCUCUUGGUCUGUACCUUGCAAAUUAUGAGAGAAAAGGCAUUAUAAUUACUCCAAAAAGCAUUAUUAUGGAUAAAAACAUCAUAAAUAACAGUAAGAAAACAUGAUGCAAAAUGGACGUAUCAGAGACCCCGGCGCAUGCCCGGAGCUUUACACCACAAUGAUUGAGCUCCGAAGCACCUCCAACUACCAAGGGCGCCCAAGUACCCAAGAGGAACAAGCUCUAGGGUACCAAGCACCCAAGAGUAAUAAGCUUCUCAACUUGUAACUUCCACGUAUCGCCGUGGAGAACUCAAACAGAUGUACCGAAUGCAAUGGCAAGGGCACACGGAGUGCCCAAGUCCUUCUCUCUCAAAUCCCACCACAACAACUAAUGCUAUGGAGGAAAAUGAGAGGAAGAGCAAAGAAGAGAACACGAAGAACUCCAAGAUCUAGAUCCAAGGGGUUCCCCUCACAUAGAGGAGAAUGUGAUUGGUGGAAAUGUGGAUCUAGAUCUCCUCUCUCUUUUCCCUCAAGAACAAGCAAGAAUCAUUGGAGGGAUUGAGAGAUAGCAAGCUCAAAGAAGGUCAACAAUGGGGGAAGAACACGAGCUCAAGAGAUUAAAUGCAAUGGGGAAGAAGACCCCCUUUUAUAGGCCCUCCCAAAUCCAAUUGUUUUGCCUUCAGCCCGCACACAAGCGGUAGUACCGCUCGGGCGAGCGGUACUUCCGCUGGCCCGGUAGUUUCAGCCGUAACGUGCAACUCGGAAACUCAAGGAGGCGGUAGUGCCGCCGGAGCGGUACUACCACUAGGUGUUGCGUGUACACGUGAAACCAUGAUAGUAGAGUAGGACAGCGUGGUACUACCACCCACUACUGCCGCUCUACUUCCGCGCAGAGGAAAACCGAAUCCAGAAGCUAAAAACAAGCGGUAGUGCGCACGACACUGGACCGCGGAAGUACCGCACAAGCGGUACUACCGCUGUCCGGCGCGGUGAUACGUCUCCAACGUAUCUAUAACUUUUGAUUGUUCCAUGUUGUUAUACUAUCAAUCUUGGAUGUUUUAUAAUCAUUUUAUAGUCAUUUUAUAUCAUUUUUUGGUACUAACAUGUUGACAUAGUGCCAAGUGCCAGUUGCUGUUUUCUGCAUGUUUUUUACAUCGCAGGAAAUCAAUAUCAAACGGAGUCCAAAUGCCACGAAACUUUACAGAGAUUUUUUAUGGACCAGAAGACACGUAAUGGGCCCUGGCUGCGCCUGGGGGUGCUCCGAGGAGAGCACAACCCACCAGGGCGCGCCAGGAGGCCCAGGCGCGCCCUGGUGGGUUGUGCCCACCUCGGGUGCCCCCCGGACAGCCUCUUUGCUUUAUAAAUACCCCAAUAUUCCAGAAACCCUAGGGGAGUCGAUGAAAUAUUAAUCCAGCCGCCGCAGAGUCCAGAACCACCAGAUCCAAUCUAGACACCAUCUCGGAUGGGGUUCACCACCUCCAUUGGUGCCUCUCCGAUGAUGCGUGAGUAGUUCUUUGUAGACCUUCGGGUCCGUAGUUAGUAGCUAGAUGGCUUCCUCUCUCUCGCUGAAUUCUCAAUACAAUGGUCUCUUGGAGAUCCAUAUGAUGUAACGCUUUUGCGGUGUGUUUGUUGGGAUCUGAUGAACUUUGAGUUUAUGAUCAGUUAUAUCUUUUUAUAUCCAUGAAAGUAUUUGAGUUUCUUUGAUCUCUUUUAUGCACGAUUGCUUAUAGCCUCGUAUUUCUUCUCCGGUAUUUGGGUUUUGUUUGGCCAACUUGAUCUAUUUAUCUUGCAAUGAGAAGAGGUGCUUUGUAGUGGGUUCGAUCUUACGGUGCUUGAUCCCAGUGACAGAAGGGGAACCGACACGUAUGUAUCGUUGCUACUAAGGAUAAAAUGAUGGGGUCUAUCUCUACAUAGAUAGAUCUUGUCUACAUCAUGUCAUCGUUCUUAUUGCAUUACUCCGUUUUCCCAUGAACUUAAUACACUAGAUGCAUGUUGGAUAGCGGUCGAUGUGUGGAGUAAUAGUAGUAGAUGCAGGCAGGAGUCGGUCUACUAAUCUUGGACGUGAUGCCUAUAUAAUGAUCAUUGCCUGGAUAUCGUCAUGAUUAUUUGAAGUUCUAUCAAUUGCCCAACAGUAAUUUGUUCACCCACCGUUUGCUAUUUUCUCGACAGAAGCCACUAGUGAAACCUACGGCCCCCGGGUCUCUUCCUCAUAUAUUUGCCUUUGUGAUCUACUUUUCCUUUGCAUUUAUUUUCAGAUCUAUUAAACCAAAAAUAUAAAAAUACCUUGCUGCGUUUUCUUAUUUAUUUUAUUUGGCGUUCGAUCUAUCAAUCUACUACAAUUUCCUCACGUCCAUUUGCCCUUCUUGGGGCGCCGCUACCCAAAAGGGAUUGCCAACCCCUUUUACACGUCGGGUUGCGAAGAUUUGUUAUCUCUGUGUAGGGGCUGUUUACGUUGUGUUGCUUGGUUCUCCUACUGGUUCGAUAACCUUGGUUUCUUCACUGAGGGAAAUACCUAUCGUCGUUGUGCUGCAUCAUCCCUUCCUCUUUGGGGAAAUACCGACGUAGCUUCAAGCUGCAUCAGUCGGUACUACCUCUAGGGAGCAACAAAAUGGCCUAAGCAAAACAGAUGGAUGCAGGAAAGCCUAAACUGCCAUAACUUCUUCAAAUGAGCUCCGAAUUGAGCAAAUGAUAUAGAGAUGUGAAACCCCUAUCAAUGAAGAACCGGCAAAAACCCCAACAUCGAAAACAUCAUAGAAGAUGCAUAUGAACUCCGUUUUCGAUGAACUCGAGCUUCUCAUCAAGAUGACCAUAAGUUCCAAAUCUCACAAGGAGAAACACCAAACAAUAACCAAGAAAUAUGAUGCAAGGAUGCAAUGGUUUGUGCUCUCUACGAAUGAUACGAUCAAGCUACUCACUUGAGAGCCCCUUUGAUAGUACGGCCAUUGAUCCUAUAACCCGGUCUCCCAACUACCACCAUGAUACCGGUAAAAUAGAAAACCUAUCAAGGGAAAACCUUUUCCUUGCACAUAGUCCACUUGAGCUAGAUGAUGGCGAUCUUGAUUUCCUCAAGUUGGACCACCUUUCUUGAUUGUGUUGGCUUGAUGAAGACUAGUUGAUUGCUCCCCAUACUCCACUAUGGGUGAGCCAAUCUUUGGCACAUCUUCACAAGUCCAUUGUCACCACAAUGGACGGCAAGCUUCAAGCAUGAUCUCUUCGUGAUGCUUCACUUGAACUUGCACACGACAAUCUUGAUGACGAUCACCACUUGAUGUCAUCCUCCAUGGGUUAUAUGAGAUCUUCCUCUUGACUCAAGCCCAUGGAAACAUACCUAACCCCACAUAGAACUCUCACGUAGACCAUGGGUUAGUACACAAAGCGUAAUGGACAAUGCUUACCAUACCACGGGAUCACUUGAUCCCUCUCGGUACAUCUUCUACGCUUUGUGAGUUGAACAACUUGAUUCACUCUUUGACUUAGUCUUGAUCAACAAUGAACCAUGAUCAAUCUUUAUAUAAUUCCUUGAAUAGCACCUUGGUCAACACAUAAACUCCUUGAAACCAACAGAUGGACUUCAAGAAAUUCCCUAUGGACAAAUCCUUCAAUUAUAACUCAAGGCAACCAUUAGUCCAUAGAGUUUGUCAUCAAUUACCAAAACCAAACAUGGGGGCACCACAUGUUCUUUCAGUAUUCAAGGAGACAUUUGCGGUCCCAUUCAACGAUUAUCUGGACCUUUCAGGUACUUGAUGGUCUCAUUGACGCAUCUACAUGAUGGUCACAUGUGUGUCUUUUAUCCACAAGGAACCAUGCAUUUACCAAGAUAAUGAGGCAAGUCAUUAAGUGAUACGUCUCCAACGUAUCUAUAAUAUUUUAUUGUUCCAUGCUAUUAUAUUAUCUACUUUGGAUGUUUUAUAUGCAUUAAUAUGCUAUUUUAUAUCAAUUUUGGGACUAACCUAUUAACCUAGUGCCCAGUGCCAGUUUCUGUUUUUUCCCUUGUUUUUGUCAUUUACAGAAAAUCAAUAUCAAACGGAGUCCAAAUGGAAUAAAACUUUACGGUGAUUUUUCUUGGACCAGAAGACAUCCACGAAGCUUCAGGAAGAGGCUAGGAGACCCACGAGCCGGUCACAAGCCACAAGGGCGCGCCCUAGGGGGGCACGCUCCUAGGGAAUUGUGGGCCCCUCGUGGCUCUUCUAACCCUAACUCCAGCUCUAUAAAUACCCAAAUAUUACCCCUACGAUAGAGGGCACACCAAAUAUACUUUUCCACCACCGCAAGCUUCUGUCUUCGUGAGAUCCCAUCUUGGGACCUUUUCCGGUACUCCGCCGGAGUGGGAUUCGAUCACGGAGGGCAUCUACAUCAACCUUGCUGACCUACCGAUGAUGUGUGAGUAGUUUACCACAGACCUACGGGUCCAUAGCUAGUAGCUAGAUGUCUUCGUCUCUCUCUUUGAUCUUCAAUACAAUGUUCUCCUUAAUGUUCUUGGAGGUCUAUUCGAUGUAAUCUUAUUUUGCGGGGCAUUUGUUGAGAUCCGAUGAAUUGUGGAUUUAUGAUCAGAUUAUCUAUGAAUAUUAUUUGAGUCUUCUUUGAACUCUUUUAUGCAUGAUUAAGAUAGCUUUGUAUUUCUCUCCAUCUAUCGAUUUGGUUUGGCCAACUGAAAGUGCUAGUUAUCGACUAGAGGGGGGGUGAAUAGGCGAUUUUUUAUGGAAGUCUUCAAAACACGGGGGCUUUGAAGACAAACAGUAGAAAUGAACCUAUUGAUAUGCAGCGGAAGGUAGACUACACUAGACAAGCCAUAGUCAAGUAAGCAAUGAAGUGAGAGCACGAAGACUAUCAGCAGCUAGGUAGGAUGGAUCAGGAUGCAAGAUAGUAUGAAGCCAAACAAUAAACAGUCUUCACACAGUGAAGACUUACAGAUCAUGCAAGCAGGUAAUGACUUCACGAAGACAAACUAUAAGUAAAGGGAAGGGAAGGAUAGAACCAGUUGCUUGGUGAGGACAAGGAUUUGGUAGACCAGUUCCAGUUGCUGUGACAACUGUACGUCUGGUUAGGGACGCUGAGAUUUAACUCAGAAGACCGCGUCUUCACCUUAUUCCCCUUGAGCUAAGAACACUUAGUCCUCGCACAAUCACUCUGGUAAGUCUUAUAGGUAGACUUUCGAACCUUCACAGACUUCGUUCACUGGCAAUCCAUAAUGGCUCUUGGAUUCUCAGAACACAACGCCUAACCGGCUGGAGGAUUCACAGUCCUCAAGUGUAACAAGUCUUCAGAUCACGCGGACAGAAAGACUUCAAUGAUGCCUAACACUCUUUGGCUCUAGGUGUUUUGGGCUUUUUCCUCACAAGGAUCUCCCUCUCUCAAAUGCUUCGGAGGUGGGUUGCUCUCAAACGACAAAAGCCGUGCACUAACUCUGAGCAGCCACCAAUUUAUGGUGUAGGGGGCGGGCUAUUUAUAGCCAGGAGGCAACCCGACCUGAUUUGUCCGAAAUGACCCUGGGUCACUAAGGAACUGACACGUGUCCAAUGGUCAGAUUUCAAACACACGCGGCAGCUUGACUUGGGCUACAAGUAAAGUUGACUCAUCCAGCUCUGGAUAAGAUUUGCUCUCAUUGUCUUCGCUCGAAGACAUAGGAUUUGGUUGAGCAUCACAUCAGUCACUGUGACUUUGUUCACUUGGACCCCACUUAAUAGUACGGUGGUUCCUAUGACUCAACAAAGAAGAAAAGGAAACUACGAAACAACUAUGUCUUCGUAUUCCAUAGUCUUCAUGUGAAUGUCUUCUCAUGUCAUAAUCUUCACUGUGAAUUUCUUCACAGACCACCAUUGUCUUCAAUGUCUUCACACAUUUUAGGGGUCAUCUCUGGUAGAUAAACCGAAUCAAUAAGGGACUACUACCUGUGUUAUCCUGCAAUUCUCACAAACACAUUAGUCCCUCAACCAAGUUUGUCAUCAAUACUCCAAAACCAACUAGGGGUGGCACUAGAUGCACUUACAAUCUCCCCCUUUUUUGGUGAUUGGUGACAAACUGGUUGAAGUUUUCAACGGGGAUAAAAGUAUGUGAAAGUUAAGAAUUAAGGUAUUAUCUUCAUAAGUAGCAAAAGGCUCCCCCUGAAGAUGUGCAUAUAAGUAGUUUGCCUUUGAAUGCAAAUGCACAUGGCAGGUUUUACUUUGUGGAGAUCCUCUUCAACUUAUGAAGACAGUUCAUCGUGCAUAUAAACAUAUAAUGACGAUAAUGACAUGCACAAUGAAAAAUGGACGUCUGCAGAAUGUCUUCAUGCGGAAUUUAUCAUCGCAUCACAAGGUAGCAGAAAAAGUAGCAGACGACCAUCGAGUUUAAGUGUUACAACUCAAAGAACCAAAUGUUUCAAAAGACGAGAGUUUUAAAGACUUAGCAAAAAUAAUGCAACCACCCAUAUGGACCCGCUUGAAGACUAUCAACUCAUAAGCUUCUCCCCUUUUGUCAGUAAUGACCAAAAAGGUUUGAAGACAUAGAGUAUCUACUCGUUCCCAGUGGGAGUAGAUGAUGGAGCAGGGUCGAUGUUGGAAUUAGGUGGUGCAGACGGGCCUGACGCAGUGUCGAGAUGCAGGGCAGCCAUGGUCGGUGAAGUGGCGUCGUCUUCUUCAUCGACUACUCUCGCAACAACUGUUGCAGCCGAAGACGAAUGUUCAGAGUCUUCAAUAGACGGCGUGCGACGCCAGCUUGCAUUUUGUGUAGCCCUUGAAUCAAACUUGAAAUUCUCUGUGAAGCCAUCUUCGUGAAGAUCGUCUUCAGGACAGAGCAUUGUGAGACUCUUCCAGGACCGCCGACAUGCUUCAUGGGCAACAAACGAGUCCUUGGUGGCCAAGUUUCGAAUGCGAUUGACAUCCACCAAGAUACUCAGCAUCUGACGCUUCAGCCAGUCAUGAUGCUUAUCCUGCUUCUGAUGUAAUGCCACAAGAAGCUCUCGGUCAUUGAGUACACGAGAACGCUUCCGAGGCCUUUGGGCAACCGUACUUGCAGUGGCUUCGGUGUUGGCACGAUGUGGCACUCUCAUAUUUCCAGCCAGAGGAUAAGCGGGGGUUGCAGCAUUGGGGACAAGAAUUCCUUCGAUUGGUUGCGUGAAGCUUUGGUGUUCAGCAUUCUGAAGAUGUAGAGGCUUCUUGGCAGGUUCUGGGUAGAUGGCUUCAAUGGACAGAUCAACCUCAGGCAGAAAAACAAUGUGGUUGCGUGCUGAGGGCUGAUAGUCAAUAGUGGAGUGGAGCUUGAUCAGUCGCAUCACCCAUGGAGCAUAGAACUUUAGGCCAAAUAGAUCAAUCCCAGAAGCAGCUAGUUGUCUGAUGAAGAAAUCCUGGGUGUUGAAUAUGAUGCCAUUGAUGAUAUAAAAUACCAAAGUCUUCAUUGCUCCUUCAAGUUUAGCUUCAGAAGAGAUGUCCCUUGAUCGGCCAUAGAGUACGCCUCAAAAUGUGGUAUACUGUGCGUCGCAAGUACUCGAGGUCCUUUACAAAUAAUUCCUUUGGGUAUUCUGCAUCUUGAGGCAAUGGCUUCAUCAUACUAAGCAUCUGACUCAUGUUUGAUUUGGGGCUCUGAAAGAUACUCUGCAGUUCAUCUCUAUGACGCUGACAACCAAGCUCGUAUAACUCACCUGGAGUGGGCAGGGAAGUAAGCUCGAUAAUGUCUUGAGCUUUCGCUUCGUGAUGUACAUCACCUGACAUCCACUCAAGGAUCCAUGUCUUCGGAUCCCUGUUGUAGCCGCGAAUAUGAAGUGUGGCAUAGAACUGCAGCAGAAGCUCUUCAUUCUAGUGCUCUUUGUCUGCCACAAACGGCAGAAGACCAACAUCCCUAAAGCAGUCAAGAGCUUCUUCAAAACAGGGGAGCCCAGCUAUAGCUUCACAAUCUAGACGCAUGUGUGGAAAGAUCCGCUCUUGAUUGUACAGAAUGCAGGAGUAGUAGCUUCGCUGCUGAUGACUCCAAAAUCUAUCUGAAGAGAUCUUAGGCUUCGUGUAAGGAUUCUUGGCACUGUCAAAGAAAGUGUUGUGCUCUCUCAAGCUGAGCACGCUAAAAGAACCCUGUGUCGUUGGAGCACUUGGAAGCCUUGGUAGCAUAGGCUUGGGCUUAUGAACUUGAGGCCUCUGCUCCACAUGGUAAUCAUAUUGAGGUCCGAGAGUAGUGGGUGGAACCAUAACUGGCCAUCUGACUGUGACUAGCUGUCCUUCACGAUUGAAUGCUUGUUCAAUGGUGUGCGGCCUUGGAGGAGGAACAUCAUCACUAGAGCUGAUUGGUGGGACAAUGGUGUCAGUGGCAGCAUUGUCAUCAGGCUCCACAUUGUCUCCAGCCAUGACUGUGUCAUUGGCUUCAGUGGCGUUGUUGGUGGCAGCCUCAGUGUUUUCAACCUCCAUUUGUUCAAGGACAGGAGGGUCGGGCACAAACACAUUCUCCUUGAGAAUGACUUGAUCACUUGCUGGGGGUGUGUCAACUCUUUCUUCUUCUCUUUCUUCAUCGGCUGAUGCAGCCGGAAUGUCUUCGGCGACUUUGGCUUCAGACUCAGAGGCAUUCGCAGUAGGGGUGGCUUCAGGAAAUACUUGACGUGCGACUGAGCUUUGGUGCACUUCCCCUUAUGGAAUGCUCGACAUGGUGACCUGUGGCCUGGGGCCUUUGCGAAGCCUGCGAAAUACGGACAACGCCUUUGGUGAAGGAGUGGUCUGUACCAUGUAACUGUCAUUGUCAAGCACCGGAGUGGUGGCUUGAGGUGGUGGAGUUCUGGGUGUCUCAUCAUGUACUGGGGUGUCUAGCUUGCUAUUGGCGCUCGGCCCAUGAGUCAUCCUGAGCGAUUGGCGUCAAUGGACGACCAAUGCUGAUAAUUUCACUGCUUGUUGGAGCAGGCGAUGAUACCGACUGGGGCUCGAGCUCAGGAAGGACUACAUCAUCAUCAACAUUGUCUUCACGACCAAUGUCUUCAGCUGAGUUGAGGUCAGCAGCUGGAAUUUGUUCAUCUUCUGGAGCCUCUUUGGAAGCAGGCUCAUGGAUCACAAGACGACGCUCAUGGUUGGUUGAGGCAGGAAGGGCAACAGAAAUGGGUUCAACAAUGAGGGGCUCAGUGGCUGUAGCACGCUCUUUCUUUGAAGACUUUGUCUUCAAUUUCUUCUUGGAUGGGGCAUCAUCAGAAGUAUCCUUGUGCUUGUGUUUCCUGGCUUCGGCUUCAGCUGCCCUCGUUUUCUUCAGCUCUGAAGCUGCUGAGGUGACCUUAGGCUUCGAGCCAGUCAUACUGGUAGGGAAGACAAUGUGAGGUUCUUCCUGCCUUGGUGUUUCAGUUUGGGCCGCAGCAGGCUUCUUCUUUUGCUUGGCAGCCAUCCUGGGGUCGAUGCCAGGACGCCCAAGAGCUUUUCUCUUCUCAGCUUCAUUAUGUGCUUGAACACAUUUCUGCGCAAAGUACUUCAUGCAUUCCCGUGAGCCUUUUGCUUCUUCACGCUUCUUGUGGAAUUGUUCCUUAAGAUCAUGCAGCAUCUUCUUGAAGAUCUGCACAUCAGCCACACUGAGCUUGGCCAUAUUCUUCUUGAAAUGCGCCUUCUCAUAAUCAAUCUUGUUUUUGAGCUCGACGAUUUUCUGAGCCAAGGCCAACUCAUUAGCAAUGGCUCUGUGAAACGUGACGCUUAUGUCCACAGGCAGCUGAAGAUCAUCAAUACUGAUGCUCUGGUCACCAAACGACUCAUCGAUGAAGUUGUUCAGAAUAUCAACAUCAAAGAGGGGUAGAUCAUUGAAGAUUUCUGCCUCUUGCUUGCUCUUGAUCAGCAUCUCAAGUGCUUCAUCACCAAGAUCUUCAUCACUAGACAGAUCAAUGGUGUCUUCCUCGUUGCGCAGAACGGCAGCAGGAGUCAGUUCAUGCCCAGAGAUCUUCUUGGGCUUCUCCGUCUUCUUCGUCCUCUUGGAGACACGAGACAAGUCUUUAGACUGCACACUGGGUUCAGGAGGUGCAGUCUUCAAUGGCUUCACAGUCAAAGCUUUUGGUGCGGCAGAGGGCUUCAAAGCUUUUGAUUUCUUCUUCUUCUGCUUCGGUGGUGCUGGCGCAUCUUCAGAGUCUGCGUCAUCAGCGGAGUGAUCCACUGUAUCCCUCUGAGCAGCAAUGUGAGAGAGGAGCCCGUUGAAGCUGUUGAAGGGGCCGAUGACAUUGGGAUUAGCUUCACGUGCGCCAUCCAGCCUUGGAGAAGAUGGACCAGGGUUGAAGUUGAGUCCAAGAUCCCUCUUGCUCUUUGCAGCUGACUCUUUUGCAAACUGAUAAUUGCGCUUGAAAAGAUUGUCUUUGCGACACCAUAACAUGGAUGAUGGGUCGGCAUUCUCAAGCUUCGGUCCUCGGACCAUGCAUGGGUAGAAACCUUGGGCGAUAGCUUCAGGCUUCAAUUUUGGCUGCAGAUUCUUGUACAGAAUAUCGCCCCAUGGGCGCUUGAUGGCAUUCUUCUCAGCAUAUUCAGCAGUGACAAAGUUGUACUUGAACCACUGUUCUACCCAAUAUCUUCGAAUCCAUUGGAUUCGGGUCUUGCGCUGAUUGUAAUUUUCUUCAGGAUCAGUUUUGUACAUUUCAUACAGAUCCGGAGGCAGAUCUAGAGCUGUGUUGCCUCUGUGCUGCCUGCCACCUUUCCUAGCAGACUUUUCUGUGGCCAUGAUAUUCAAGCAGAUAGGCUUCAGAACAGCGAAAGGCUUCCGUCUACUGGUCAGACAAGAACUUGCUUCAGGGGAGUGAAUAUGAUGUUGUAAGAACUCUGCAAAUGAAUGCAGACUAUGAGAACCAAGGGAUUCUCCCACGGACAUGUACAUGUGACAGCAUUAGAGGUGCGAGGGAAGGGGAAGAGGUCAUAUGCAUUCUCAGAAGAUUUUGAAGAUAAAUCAGUUUGAAGACAUUAACCUCAUAAAGCGAAGACAUUCACUUAUUUGAAGAGAGUUGGUUCCAGAUUUGUACGAAUCCAUGAAUAAGUACAAGUGAGGAAUCUAACUAGUUAUGAAGAAUAAGUGAAUACCUUUAGCAUGAUAUGAGAUGCAGACAGAGACAGAUCCAGAUUUGAAAGUGUAGAAACCACUUUUGGUUGAAGUGGAUGGAUUUGACGGAUCAAAAAGACAGUAAAAAGUGAGAUUUAAUUACCGCUGACGAACUGCUGGACAAGGCAAAGUUAGAAGCCGAGAAGUUCAAUCUCCCGCGCCCUAACUUGGCGGCGGAAGACACCUACGGCGGCGGCGGAGAGGACGAGGUCCACGGCCGGCGUCGAAGAAAUCGCGGCAGCUAAGCGCUUCGUCUCCGGCGUCGACGCGAACUAGCGGAGGCGCUAGGGUUUGAGCGAGGUGGCGAGGUGGAAGAAGAGAUAAUGACCGCGGGGUGUGUGUAUUUAUAAGGAAAGGGACUGCACAACGUAAUUACGCAGGUGCCCCUGGCGGUUCACAUCUGAAGGACACGUGGCCUCCAUGCAACUUAUUGGAAGUUGUUCCAUGUUCCCACGCACGCCUGGAUUGUCGGGUGGUCGUCCCGGCUUCUCCGGUAUUCAGGCACAAGGGAUAUAGCAUUAAAACAGAUUUAAAUGUUUGUCUCUGUGUCUUCUUCUGACAAGGACUCAGUGAAGACAUUUGACAGGUUUCAACAGAAUGCAUAUAACUUGGAUAGAUAGAAUUUGAGGAAGAAGCACAGAAGGGGUUAGGGUCCGAUCACAUUCACUUAGAUCAGAAAAAUUCAGGUAUGAAGACAUAGCUAUAAGUGAAUGUUGUAGAGGACAGAACACGCAUAUAUAUAUAUAUAUAUAUAUAUAUAUAUAUAUAUAUAUAUAUAUCAGUCUAAGACCAACUCAACAUUGCGAAGAUAAACCAUGAGGUCAAAUCAAUGUUUGAAUACAAACCAAAUGCAAAGAUUAUGCAAUCAUGACGCCAAAUGAAACACUUCAAGAAGAUUUUGGUGGUGGCGUUACCCACCAUAUAGGAAGUAUUAGACCUAGACACGGCGCACAAUUAUCGUGGCGCUCCGAAGUCAAAUUCCGCGUUAAUGUAUUCACACUUAGAGUGUAUGUCUUCAUUGAUUGAAGAUAUACAUUACUUCGUGUGUUGCACAUCUAAGUCAUCAACAUGCAUAAGCGUUAGGAUGUGUGUCCAAUUACAGGACAUUUGAGGAUUCUAGGAUAUUUAGCUCACACCGCAACUUGCAAAACCUUUUCUCAUCCAAGGGCUUUGUGAAGAUAUCUGCCAAUUGCUCUUCAGUGUUGACGUGAAUGAUAUCAAUAUCUUCCUUCAUGACAUGAUCUCUGAGAAAGUGAUGAUGGAUCUGAAUGUGCUUUGUCUUCGAGUGCUGAACAGGGUUGUUGGCAAUCUUGAUGGCGCUUUCAUUAUCACAGUAGAGUGGAACUUGCUUCAGGUGGAUGCCAUAGUCCUUGAGAGUUUGCUUCAUCCAUAGAAGCUGAGCGCAGCAAGAUCCAGCAGCAAUGUAUUCAGAUUCAGAAGUGGAGAGGGAUACACAGUUCUGCUUCUUUGAAGACCAACAGACAAGCGAUCGUCCAAGAAAGUGACAUGUGCCUGAUGUGGACUUGCGAUCAACCUUGUCACCAGCAUAAUCAGCAUCUGAGAAUCCAACUAGAUCAAACUCUGAACCCUUGGGAUACCAUAAUCCUAGAGUUGGGGUGUAAGCCAAAUAUCGAAGAAUUCGCUUCACUGCUAGGUGAUGCGAUUCCUUUGAUGCCGCUUGGAAUCGGGCAUACAUGCAAACACUAAGCAUUAUAUCUGGCCUAGAUGCACAUAAAUAGAGUAAAGAGCCAAUCAUGGAGCGGUAUACCUUUUGAUCAAAUUCUUUACCAUUGUCGUCGGGGCCAAGAUGACUUUUGGUUGGCAUUGGCGUCGUGUAUCCUUUGCAGUCUUGCAUUCCAAACUUCUUCAAGCAAUCGUUGAGGUAUUUCUCUUGUGAUAUGAAGAUGCCGUUGCUCUGCUGACGGAUUUGAAGACCGAGGAAGAAUUUCAGCUCAACCAUCAUGGACAUCUGAUAUUGCUCUUGCAUCAUGUACCCAAACUCAUCACUGUAUCUAUUGUCAGUGCAGCCAAAGAUAAUGUCAUCCACGUAGAUUUGGCAUACAAACAGUUCACCGUCAUAUGUCUUCGUGAAGAGUGUGGGAUCCAGGGAACCAUGUUUGAAGCCUUUGCUCUUCAGGAAAUCUUUGAGCGUCUCAUACCGAGCGCGAGGGGCUUGUUUGAGGCCAUACAGUGCCUUGUUGAGCUUGUAUACCAUGUUAGGAUGCUUUGCGUCUUCAAAACCAGGUGGUUGUCCAGCAUACACUUCUUCUUCAAUUUGCCAUUGAGAAAGGCACUCUUUACAUCCAUUUGGUAAAGAAGGAUGUUGUGAUGGUUGGCAUAGGCUAGCAGUAUGUGAAUGGCUUCAAUCCUAGCCACCGGAGCAAAUGUUUCAUCGAAGUCAAUCCCUUCUACUUGAGUGUAACCUUGAGCAACGAGUCGAGCCUUGUUUCUGACGACUUGACCAUGCUCAUCUUGUUUGUUGCGAUAGAUCCAUUUGGUGCCUAUGAUGUUGUGCUUGCGAGGAUCAGGACGCUUUACUAGUUCCCAAACAUUGUUCAGCUCGAACUGUUGAAGCUCUUCUUGCAUAGCUUGAAUCCAUUCAGGUUCCAUGAAGGCUUCAUCAACUUUCUUGGGUUUAGAUAUAGAGACAAAUGCAAAGUGCCCACAGAAAUUUGCUAGUUGUGUUGCUCUUGAACGAGUGAGUGGACCAGGUGCAUUGAUGCUAUCGAUUAUCUUCUCAAUAUGUACUUCAUUUGCAACACGAGGAUGAACUAGACGAAGAUUUUGCUCUUGCUGAUCAUUGUCUUUGUUUUCAGCAUUGACUUCAGGCUGAGCAGUGUCUUCGGGUUGAUUAGGUGCAGAAAUGAUGAUUUCUUCUUCAGCCUGUGCCUCUGAAGGUAUGAUCUCUCCAGUACCCAUAAGCUUGAUAGAUUCACUUGGUGAGGCUUCAUCUAGCACAUUUUGCAUGUGCUCUCUUUGCGAGCUGUUAGUCUCAUCGAAUCAUACAUCCAUAGUUUCAACCACUUUAUAGUGAAAGAGGUUGAAGACUCUGUAGGAGUGUGAAUCCUUUCCGUAGCCAAGCAUAAAACCUUCAUUUGCUUUCGGUGCAAAAUUUGAAGUGUGAUGUGGAUCCUUGAUCCAGCACCUAGCACCAAAUACUCUGAAGUAACUGACGUUUGGCUUCUUACCAGUUAGGAGCUCAUAGGAUGUCUUCUUGAGAAGCUUGUGAAGAUAAACACGGUUGAUGACAUGGCAUGCAGUAUCAAUGGCUUCAGGCCAAAACUUUCUUGGUGUCUUUACUCAUCAAGCAUCGUCCGUGCCAUCUCAAUGAGGGUUCUGUUCUUGCGCUCCACGACGCCAUUCUGCUGAGGUGUGUAAGGAGCUACGAACUCAUGUGUGAUGCCCAAUGUAUCAAGAUAAGUGUUGAGGCUGGUGUUCUUGAAUUAUGUGCCGUUGUCACUUCUGAUAUGCUUGAUCUUGAUGCCACAGUUGGUCAUGGCACGAUUGGCGAAUCGCCUGAAGACAUCCUGCACUUCAUUCUUGUAGAGAAUUAUGUGCACCCAUGUAUAUCUAAAGUAAUCAUCAAUAAUGAUGAAACCAUAGAGACAAGCAGUGGUAGUGGGGGUAGCGUAGUGAGUAGGGCCAAAUAAUUCCAUGUGAAGCAGCUCGAAGGGACGAGUUGUCGUCAUGAUUGUUUUCGAGGGAUGCUUGGCCCUAGUCAUCUUUCCAGCUUCGCAGGCACCACAUAGAUGAUCCUUCUUGAACUUGACGCCCUCGAUGCCUACGACAUGCUUCUUCUUCGUGAGAGUGUACAAUUUCCUCAUGCCAGCAUGCCCUAGCCUUCGAUGCCAGAGCCAGCACUCUGAAGCUUUUGCUAGAAGACAUACGGCCAAUUGUGGUCCUGCUGAGAAAUCUACCAUAUAUAGAUCGUCUUUUCGAUACCCUUCAAAGACUAGAGAUUUGUCAAAUUCCAUAAGCACAAGGCAACGAUAUUUUCCAAAUAUCACAAUCAUGUUCGGAUCACAAAGCAUUGAGACAGACAUUAAGUUGAAACCAAGGGAUCCAACAAGCAUCACUUUAUCCAUGUGCUGAUCCUUUGAGAUUGCAACUCUACCUAGACCCAAUACCUUGCUUUUACCGGUGUCAGCAAAUGUGAUGUGACUCUUGUCAGAUGGACGUAGGGUUGAGUCCAUAAGAAGACUUCGAUCACCAGUCAUGUGGUUAGUGCAUCCACUGUCCAUAAUCCAUUCUGAAGCCUUUGGUGUCAUACCCUACAGUGCAGUUUGGGGGAUAGGCUUCACCAAGGGUAUUGUGAAGCAUAAACAUUUAACGAACAAGCGGAUUAUUAAAGUUCAGAUCUUUGUUAGGAUAAAUAGGAUGUUUGUCAAGGAAUCCUGGGACAAAAUACAUAGUAAGACCAUUUUGACAUUUUAUCUUGCGCCCCACAAGAUGUUUUAGGUCCCCAGCAUAAGCAUCAGAAGCCUUUGAUUUCCGGCUGGAGACCUUUCCCUGCAUAAGAGAGUUAUUUUUUCUUAACCACCCACAUCUUCAGGGGUGGCUUAGAAGCAAUGAGUCUAAGUGCAGCAUCUGAGAACUUCGGCUUUGGAGCCCUAGCAAAUAGCCUUGCAGGAGGUGAAUAAUACUCAUAAGAAUAAGCAGAAAAGUUCUUGGUCUUAUGAACAUAGCGGUUUGACGAAACACGCUCAUAUUCAUAAGUCUGGGUAUGGUUUCCCUGCAAAACAUUGGCGUUAGGGUGACUCUGGUGAGUCCUCUGUCUGUAUGAAGCCUUUGGACCAUAUGAAGCCUUUGGUCUGGGGUUUGUCUUCUUCCCAGGUGGUGUCAUGAUGACAUUCACAGGAAGUUUCUCAAGACAACUUUUGGGCACCCAGAUCUUCUUGAAAGGUGGUCCAUUCCUGCAGUUAGUACCAAUAUACCUGGCAAACACUUCACCAUUCUGAUUCUUAAACAGUUUAUAGUUUGCAUCAAAGGAUUCAUCAAUGAUAAUCGGGUUAGCACAAGUGAAGCCAGAUAAGGUAGACGGAUCCACUGAAGGUCCCUUUGCAGCAACCCAUGUUGUUUUGGGGUACUACUCAGGCAUCCAGUAGGAACCAUCAACAUUCAUUUUCCUCUUGAACUCAACACCCUCUUUCCUAGGGUUUCGGUUCAGAAUCUAUUUCUUGAGGACAUCACAUAGUGUCUGAUGCCCUUUGAGACUUUUGUACAUCCCUGUUUCAAGCAAUGUCUUCAACUUGGCAUUCUCAUCAGCAAUAGUGGUGGUAUCCUCAGCAGGGGGGUUAGUUACCACAUCACCAGUUGAAGAUAUUGCAACAGUGGCAGCAGUAGAGCAUUCAGCAACAGAGACAGCAUUAUCACGCUCAAGACAUUUUAGGCAUGGUGGAUCAAAACCUUCCUGAGCGGAACUGAUCUGUUGAGCGCAGAGUGACUCGUUCUCUUUUUGAAGAUCUUCAUGAGACGCUCUCAGGUUCUCAAGUUCUUGCUUCCUUUGAAGAUAAUCAUAGGAAAGCUUCUCAUGAGUAGCUGAGAGAGUUUCAUGACAACUUUCAAGUUCCUCGUACUUAACAUGAAGAUUUUUUAUGUCUUCAAUUAAGGACUGAGUUCGGGCCAUUUCCACGUCCAACAGGUCAUCGCUUUUGUCUAGCAACUUUUGAAUAUGUUCCAUAGCAGUUUGUUGUUCAGUUGCAAUUUUAGCAAGUGUUUUGUAGCUAGGUUUAGAUUCACAUUGAGAGUCAUCUUCACUUGAUGUUUGAAAGUAAGCAUCGCGUGAGUUUACCUUGGCACCACGUGCCAUGAAGCAGUAGGUGGGAGCAGAGUCAUCCUCAUCAUUAGCAUCAUCGUUGGUGACGAGGCCAUUGUCUUCAGUGUUGAAGAUGGACUUGGCGACAUAGGCUGAAGCUAGAGCCAGGCUUGCCACGCCUGAAUCGGAUUCCUCCUCAAAUUCCACCUUCGCCUCCUUAGAAGCAGACUCCUCCUCUGAAUCCAUCUCCUUGCCAAAAAAAUCCACGGGCCUUGCUGGAUGAGCUCUUCUUGUGAGAUGAAGACUUGGAUGAAGACUUUGAAGAAGACUUUCAGGAUUUCUUCUUCUUGUCAUCAGAAUCAUAUUCCUUGCUCUUCUUCUUCUUCUUGGUCUCAUUGUCCCACUGUGGACACUCAGAGAUGUAGUGACCAGGUUUCUUGCAUUUGUGACAUGUUCUCUUCUUGUGGCCACGAGAGGAAGCUUCAUCAUUUCUUGAGCUAGUCUUGAAGACUUUCUGAAGUCUUUCUUCUUGGUGAACUUCUGGAACUUCUUCACAAGCAUAGCAAACUCCUUUCCAAUGUCUUCAGGAUCCCCAGAACUACAGUCAGAUUCUUCUUCAGAUGAGGAAACAACCUUUGCCUUCAAAGCACGAGUUCGGCCAUAGUUGGGGCCAUAGAUGUCUCUUUUCUCAGAUAACUGGAACUCAUGUGUGUUGAGCCUCUCGAGUAUGUCAGACGGAUCGAGAUAUUUGAAGUCAGGACAUUCUUGAAUCAUAAAGGCCAUGGUGUCGAAUGAGCUGUCAAGUGAUCUCAGAAGCUUCUUGACGAUUUCGUGCUUGGUGAUCUCAGUGGCGCCAAGUGCGCGAAGCUCAUUUGUGAUAUCAGUGAGGCGAUCAAACGUGAGCUGGACAUUCUCAUUGUCGUUUCUCUUGAAGAGGUUGAAGAGGUUGCGAAGAACAUCAAUCCUUGAGUCUCUCUGAGUUGAGACGCCUUCGUUGACCUUGUAGAGCCAGUCCCAGACUAGCUUCACAGUUUCCAGUGCACUCACACGGCCAUACUGUCCUUUGGUCAGAUGACCACAGAUGAUGUUCUUGGCGGUCGAGUCCAGUUGAAUGAACCUCUUGGCAUCAGCAGCGGUGACACCUUCACCAGCCUUGGGAACGCCGUUCUUGACGACAUACCAGAGGUCAACGUCAAUGGCUUCAAGAUGCAUACGCAUCUUAUUCUUCCAGUAGGGGUAAUCAGUGCCAUCGAAGACAAGGCACACAGCGGAGACCUUGAUUAUCCCUGCAGUCGACAUAGCUUAAACUCCAGGUGGUUAAACCGAAUCACACAGAACAAGGGAGCACCUUGCUCUGAUACCAAUUGAAAGUGCUAGUUAUCGACUAGAGGGGGUGAAUAGGCGAUUUUUAUGAAAGUCUUCAAAACACGGGGGCUUUGAAGACAAACAGUAGAAAUGAACCUAUUGAUAUGCAGCGGAAGGUAGACUACACUAGACAAGCCAUAGUCAAGUAAGCAAUGAAGUGAGAGCACGAAGACUAUCAGGAGCUAGGUAGUAUGGAUCAGGAUGGAAGAUAGUAUGAAGCCAAACAACAAACAGUCUUCACAUAGUGAAGACAAUCAGAUCAUGCAAGCAGGCAAUGACUUCACGAAGACAAACUGUAAGUAAAGGGAAGGGAAGGAUGGAACUAGUUGCUUGGUGAGGACAAGGAUUUGGUAGACCAGUUCCAGUUGCUGUGACAAUUGUACGUCUGGUUAGGGAGGCUGAGAUUUAACUUAGAAGACCGUGUCUUCACCUUAUUCCCCUUGAGCUAAGAACACUUAGUCCUCGCCCAAUCACUCUGGUAAGUCUUCAAGGUAGACUUUCGAACCUUCACAGACUUCGUUCACUGGCAAUCCACAAUGGCUCUUGGAUGCUCAGAAUGCGACGCCUAACCGGCUGGAGGAUUCACAGUCCUCAAGUGUAACAAGUCUUCAUAUCACGCGGACAGAAAGACUUCAGUGAUGCCUAACACUCUUUGGCUCUAGGUGUUUUGGGCUUUGUCCUCGCAAGGAUCUCUCUCUCAAAUGCUUCGGAGGUGGGUUGCUCUCAAACGACAAAAGCCGUGCACUAACUUGAGCAGCCACCAAUUUAUGGUGUAGGGGUGGGCUAUUUAUAGCCAGGAGGCAACCCGACCUGAUUUGUCCGAAAAUGACCCUGGGUCACUAAGGAACUGACACGUGUCCAAUGGUCAGAUUUCAAACACACGUGGGAGCUUGACUGGGCUACAAGUAAAGCUGACUCAUCCAGCUCUAGAUAAGAUUUGCUCUCAUUGUCUUCGCUCGAAGACAUAGGAUUUGGUUGAGCAUCACAUCAGUCACUCUGACUUUGUUCACUUGGACCCCACUUAACAGUACAAUGGUUCCUAUGACUCAACAAAGAAGAAAAGGAAACUAUGAAACAACUAUGUCUUCGUAUUCCAUAGUCUUCAUGUGAAUGUCUUCUCAUGUCAUAAUCUUCACUGUGAAUAUCUUCACAGACCACCAUUGUCUUCAAUGUCUUCACACAUUUUUAGGGGUCAUCUCUGGUAGGUAAACCGAAUCAAUAAGGGACUACUACCUGUGUUAUCCUGCAAUUCUCACAAACACAUUAGUCCCUCAACCAAGUUUAUCGUCAAUACUCCAAAACCAACUAGGUGUGGCACUAGAUGCACUUACACCAACUAGAUUGGUUUUACUUGCAAUGGGAGAGGUGCUUUGUGAUGGGUUCAAUCUUGCGGUGUCCUCACCCAGUGACAGAAAGGGUAGCGAGGCACGUAUUGUAUUGUUGCCAUUAAGAAUAAAAAGAUGGGUUUUAUAUCAUAUUGCUUGAGUUUAUCCCUCUACAUCAUGUCAUCUUGCUUCGUUGCUCUGUUCUUAUGAACUUAAUACACUAGAUGCAAGCAGCAGUCGGUCGAUGUGUGCAGUAAUAGUAGUAGAUGCAGAAUCGUUUCAGUCUACUUGUCAUGGACGUGAUGCCUAUAUUCAUGAUCAUUGCCUUAGAUAUCGUCAUAACUUUGCGCUUUUCUAUCAAUUGCUCAACAGUAAUUUGUUUACCCAACGUAUGCUUUCUUCGAGAGAGAAGCCUCUAGUGAAACCUAUGGCCCCCGGGUCUAUUCCUUAUCAUAUAUUUUCAGAUCUAUAAAACCAAAAACCCAAAAAUACCUUGCUACAAUUUAUUUGUGUUUACUUUAUUUUAACUUUUAUUUAUAUUUUAAAUCUAUCUCUAUUAGAUCCUCUUGCUAGUGACCGUGAAGGGAUUGAAAACCCCAUUUUCACGUUGUGUGCAAGUGUUUGUUAGUUUGUGCAGGUGCAUCUAUUGGGUACUUGCUUGUGCCUUCUACUGGAUCGAUACCUUGGUUCUUAACUGAGGGAAAUACUUAUCUCUACUUUGCUGCAUCACCCUUUCCUCUUCAAGGGAAGAAUCAACGCAAGCUCGAGAAGUAGCACUAAGUUGAAAGCCCAUUAUCCAGAAAGUCGAAUUAAGUCAAUUGGAAUGGACAAUGCCGCAGAAUUCUCCUCACGUGCUUUCAAAGAUUAUUGCAUGACUUUGGGGAUUGAAGGUUAUCACUUUGUUUCAUAUGUCCAUAUGCAAAAUGGUUUGGCUGAAUCAUUGCUUAAGAGGAUCAAACUCAUUGCAAGACCAUUGUUGAUGAAUUGCAACUUGCCAACCUCUUGUUGGGGUCACGCCGUUUUACACGCUGCUGACUUGAUACAAUUGAGGCCAACUGCAUAUCACAGUACUCACCCUCUACAAUUGGUACGUGGAAAUCCUCCUAGUAUUUCCCAUCUACGUAAGUUCAGAUGUGUUGUAUACAUCCCGAUCUCACCACCACAACGGACAUCUAUGGGCCCACACAGGAAACAGGGGAUCUAUGUGGGGUACAAAUCGCGGUCGAUUAUCAAGUACCUGGAACCCCUUACUGGGAUCUGUUCACAAUCUGUCAUGUUGAUUGCAUAUUUAAUGAGGGGCAUUUUUCGGCAUUAGGGGGAGAUUUCAAGUACCAGAAAGAAUGUCCGGAACUUGAUUGGAAUGCUCAAGUCAUUUCAUCCUGUGAUCCAUGUACCCAAGAGACCGAACUCCAAGUUUGGAAAAUCAUUAAUUUGCAACGUCUUGCAAAUAAUCUGCCAGAUUCAUUUACUGGUCUAACAGGUGUUACAAAAUCCUUAAAUCCGGCCAGAAAUGCGCCUGAAAGAGUGGAGGUACCAAUAAAAACCAUUCAACUCCCUAUUCCUAAAAAGAGGGGGAGUAGUACGACCUCUGACCUGGAGCAUGCUUCUAGCAAGCAGCAAAGAAAAUCGAGGAGAAAAACCUCGGAGUCAGUAAAUGCAAGUCAACUCAACAUUGACAAACACCUGAUGGGUAGUAUACACCCAGUGGAAGGGCAACCUCCACAACCCAGCUUCAGUUUGCACACACUGGCUGGGACAUCGGAACACCCGGACUCAUGCAUAUUGGGAAAUCACGAAGAGUCACUAGGGGUGCAGGAAAUUUCCGUCAACUAUGUUGAUUCUGGAGAAUCAUUUGACCGUAAGACUAAGAGUGUCGACAUAUACUUUGCUGAAAAGAUUGCAGAUACCCUUCCCACUGAUCAUGAUCCAAGUACUAUCGUUUAGUGCCAAAAGCGCUCCGUGGCCGCUGUUGGGGAACGUAGCAAAAAUUCAAAAUUUUCUACGCAUCACCAAGAUCAAUCUAUGGAGUAAUCUAGCAACGAGGGGAAGGGGAGUGCAUCUACAUACCAUUGUAGAUCGCGAUGCGGAAGUGUUGCAAGAACGCGGAUGAAGGAGUCGUACUCGUAGCGAUUCAGAUCGCGGUUGAUUCCGAUCUAAGCACCGAAGAACGGUGCCUCCGCGUUCAACACACGUGCAGCCCGGUGACGUCUCCCACGCCUUGAUCCAGCAAGGAGGGAGGGAGAGGUUGGGGAAGACUCCAUCCAGCAGUAGCACGACGGCGUGGUGGUGGUGGAGGAGCGUGGCAAUCCCGCAGGGCUUCGCCAAGCACCGCGGGAGAGGAGGAGGAGGAAGAGGGGUAGGGCUGCGCCGAAAGAGAGACGUUCUCAUGUCUGUAUGGCAGCCCCAAACCUCAAGUAUAUAUAGGGGAGGGGGAGGGCUGCGCCCCCAUCUAGGGUUCCCCCCCCCCAAGGGGUGCGGCCAGCCCUAGAUGGGGCUUGGGGGGCGGCCAAAGGAGGGGAGAGAGGGGGCGCCCCACUAGAUGGGCCUUAGGCCCAUCUGAGACUAGGGUUUCCCCCCUUCCCCCUUUCCUGCGCCCUGGACCUCUUGUGGGGGGGCGCACCAGCCCACCGGGGGCUGGUCCCCUCCCACACUUGGCCCAUGCAGCCCUCUGGGGCUGGUGGCCCCACUUGGUGGACCCCCGGGACCCUCCCGGUGGUCCCGGUACAUUACCGAUAUCACCCGAAACUUUUCCGGUGACCAAAACAGGACUUCCCAUAUAUAAAUCUUUACCUCCAGACCAUUCCGAAACUCCUCGUGAUGUCCGGGAUCUCAUCCGGGACUCCGAACAACAUUCGGUAACCACGUACAUACUUUCCCUAUAACCCUAGCGUCACCGAACCUUAAGUGUGUAGACCCUACGGGUUCGGGAACCAUGCAGACAUGACCGAGACGUUCUCCGGUCAAUAACCAACAGCGGGAUCUGGAUACCCAUGUUGGCUCCCACAUGUUCCACGAUGAUCUCAUCGGAUGAACCAUGAUGUCGGGGAUUCAAUCAAUCCCGUAUACAAUUCCCUUUGUCUAUCGGUAUGUUACUUGCCCGAGAUUCGAUCGUCGGUAUCCCGAUACCUUGUUCAAUCUCGUUACCGGCAAGUCUCUUUACUCGUUCCGUAACUCACAUCAUCCCGUGAUCAACUCCUUGGUCACACUGUGCACAUUAUGAUGAUGUCCUACCGAGUGGGCCCAGAGAUACCUCUCCGUUUACACGGAGUGACAAAUCCCAGUCUCGAUUCGUGCCAACCCAAUAGACACUUUCGGAGAUACCUGUAGUGCACCUUUAUAGCCACCCAGUUACGUUGUGACGUUUGGUACACCCAAAGCAUUCCUACGGUAUCCGGGAGUUGCACAUCUCAUGGUCUAAGGAACUGAUACUUGACAUUAGAAAAUCUCUGAGCAAACGAACUACACGAUCUUGUGCUAGGCUUAGGAUUGGGUCUUGUCCAUCACAUCAUUCUCCUAAUGAUCUGAUCCCGUUAUCAACGACAUCCAAUGUCCAUGGUCAGGAAACCGCAACCAUCUAUUGAUCAACGAGCUAGUCAACUAGAGGCUUACUAGGGACAUGGUGUUGUCUAUGUAUCCACACAUGUAUCUGAGUUUCCUAUCAAUACAAUUCUAGCAUGGAUAAUAAACGAUUAUCAUGAACAAGGAAAUAUAAUAAUAACCUAUUUAUUAUUGCCUCUAGGGCAUAUUUCCAACAGUCUCCCACUUGCACUAGAGUCAAUAAUCUAGUCCACAUCACCAUGUGAUUAACACUCAUAGGUCACAUCACCAUGUGACCAACAUCCAAAGAGUUUUCAAGUACCUAGUUCACAUCACUAUGUGAUUAACAAUCUAGUUCACAUCACUAUGUGAUUAACACUCAAUGAGUUCUGGUUUGAUCAUGUUAUGCUUGUGAGAGAGGUUAUUAGUCAACGGGUCUGAACCUUUCAGAUCCGUGUGUGCUUUACGAAUAUCUAUGUCAUCUUGUGGAUGCUACCACGCGCUAUUUGGAGCCAUUUCAAAUAAUUGCUCUACUAUACGAAACCGGUUUACUACUCAGAGUCAUCCGGAUUAGUGUCAAAGUUCGCAUCGACGUAACCCUUUACGACGAACUCCCUUUCACCUCCAUAAUCGAGAAAAUUCCUUAGUCCACUAGGUACUAAGGAUAAGUUCGACCGCUGUCAUGUGAUCCUUUCCCGGAUCACUAUUGUACCCUCUUGACCAACUCAUGGCAAGGCACACUACAUGUGCGGUACGCAGCAUAGCAUACUGUAGAGCCUACGUCUGAAGCAUAGGGGAUGACCUUCGUCCUUUCUCUCUCUUCUGCUGUGGUCAGGUCUUGAGUCUUACUCAAUACUCACACCUUGUAACACAGCCAAGAACUCCUUCUUUGCUGAUCUAUUUUGGACUCUUUCAAAAUCAUGUCAAGGUGUGCGUUCUUUGAAAGUAUCAUUAGGCGUCUUGAUCUAUCUCUAUAGAUCUUGAUGCCCAAUAUGUAAGUAGCUUUAUCCAGGUCUUCCUUUGAAAAACUCCUUUCAAACAAUCCUUUAUGCUUUCCAGAAAUUCUACAUCAUUUCGGAUCAACAAUAUGUCAUUCACAUAUACUUAUCAGAAAUGUUGUAGCUCUCCCACUCACUUUAUUGUAAAUACAAGUUUCUAACAAACUUUGUAUAAACCCAAAAACUUUGAUCACUCCAUCAAAGCGUAUAUUCUGACUCCGAGAUGCUUGCUCUAGUCCAUGGAAGGAUCGCUGGAGCUAGCAUACCUUUUAGCAUCCUUAGGAUCGACAAAACCUUUCUGAUUGUAUCACAUACAACCUUUCCUUACGCAAACUGGUAAGGAAACUUGUUUUGACAUCCAUCUGCCAGAUUUCAUAAAUGCAGCUAAUUCUAACAUGAUUCCGACGGACUUAAGCAUCGCUACGGAUGAGAAAAUCUCAUCGUAGUCAACUCCUUGAACUUAUGGAAAUACUCUUUGCCACAAGUCAAGCUUCAUAGACGGUAACCUUACCGUCCACGUUCGUCUUCUUCUUAAAGAUCCAUUUAUCUCGGAUUUCAUGGCUUCUAACCAUUUGUCAGAAUAUGGGCCCACCAUCGCUUCUCCAUAGCUCAUAGGUUCAUCGUUGUCCAACAACAUGACUUCCAAGACAGGAUCACGUACUACUCUGAAGUAUUACGCAUCCUCGUCGUCCUACGAGGUUUGGUAGUGACUUGAUCCGAAGUUUCAUGAUCACUAUCAUAAGCUUCCACUUCAAUUGGUGUAGGUGCCACAGGAACAACUUCCUGUGCCCUGCUACACACUAGUUGAAGUGACGGUUCAAUAACCUUAUCAAGUCUCCACCAUCCUCCCACUCAAUUCUUUCGAGAGAAACUUUUCCUCGAGAAAGGACGUUUCUAGAAGCAAUUACUUUUGCUUCCAGAUCUGAAAUAGGAGGUACACCCAACUGUUUUGGGUAUUCUAUGAAGAUGUAUUUAUCCGCUUUGGGUUCGAGCUUAUCAGCCUGAAACUUUUUCACAUAAGCGUCGCAGCCCCAAACUUUUAAGAAACGACAACUUAGGUUUCUCUAAACGGUGUCGUCUCAACGGAAUUGCGUGGUGCCCCUUUUAAAGUGAAUGCGGUUGUCUCUAAUGCCUAACCCAUAAACGAUAGUGGUAAUUUGAUAAGAAACAUCAUGGUAUGCACUAUAUCCAAUAGGGUGCAGUUAUGAUGUUCGGACACACCAUCACACUAUGGUGUUCCAGGCGGUAUUAAUUGUGAAACACUUUCCACAAUGUCUUAAUUGUGUGCCAAACUCGUAACUCAGAUACUCAUCUCUAUGAUCAUAUCACAGACAUUUUAUCCUCUUGUCACGACGAUCUUCAACUUCACUCUGAAAUUACUUGAACCUUUCAAUAAUUCAGACUUGUGUUUUAUCAAGUAAAUACACUCAGCAUCUACUCAAAUCAUCUGUGAAGUAAGAACAUAACGAUAUCCACUGCAUGCCUCAGCAUUCAUUGGACUGCAUACAUCAAAAUGUAUUACUUCCAAUAAAUUGCUCUCUUGUUCCAUCUUACUGAAAACGAGGCCUUUCAGUCAUCUUGCCCAUGUGGUAUGAUUUGCAUGUCUCAAGUGAUUCAAAAUCAAGUGAGUACAAACGAUCCAUCUGCAUGGAGUUUCUUCAUGCAUAUAUACCAAUAGACAUGGUUCGCAUGUCUCAAUCUUUUCAAAAACGAGUGAGUCCAAAGAUCCAUCUACAUGGAGCUUCUUCAUGCGUUCUAUACCAAUAUGACUCAAAUGGCAGUGCCACAAGUGUGUGGAACUAUCAUUACUAUUUUAUAUCUUUUGGCACGAACAUGUGUAUCACUACGAUCGAGAUUCAUUUUAGGUGCAAGACCAUUGAAGGUAUUAUUCAAAUAAACAGAGUAACCAUUAUUCUCCUUAAAUGAAUAACCGUAUUGCGAUAAACAUAAUCCAAUCAUGCUCAACGCAAACACCAAAUCUCGAUGGUAGAGGGAGCACGCGAUGCUUGAUCACAUCAACCUUGGAAACACUUCCAACACAUAUCGUCAUCUCACCUUUAGCUAGUCUCCGUUUAUUCCGCAGCUUUUAUUUCGAGUUACUAACACUUAGCAACCGAACCGGUAUCUAAUACCCUGGUGCUGCUAGGAGUACUAGUAAAGUACACAUUCAUAUAAUGUAUAUCUAGUAUACUUCUGUCGACCUUGCCUGCCUUCUCAUCUACCAAAUAUCUAGGGUAGUACUGCUUCAGUGACCGUUCCUCUCAUUACAGAAGCACUUAGUCUCGGGUUUGGGUUCAACCUUGGGAUUCUUCACUAGAGCCGCAAACGACUUGCUGUUUCAUGAAGUAUCCCCUUUUGCCCUUGCCCUUCUUAAACUAGUGGUUUUACUAACCAUCAACAAUUGAUGCUCCUUCUUGAUUUCUACUCUCGCGGUGUCAAACAUCGCGAAUAGCUCAAGGAUCAUCAUAACUAUCCCUGAUAUGUUAUAGUUCAUCACGAAGCUCUACUAGCUUGGUGGCAGUGACUAUGGAGAACUAUCACUAUCUCAUCUGGAAGGUUAACUCCCACUUGAUUCAAGCGAUUUGUGGCACUCAGACAAUCUGAGCACAUGCUUAACGAUUGAGCUUUUCUCCCUUAGUCUGCAGGCUUAAGAAACUUGUCAGAGGUCUCAUACCUCUUGACGUGGGCACUAGUCUGAAAUCUCAAUUUCAGUCUUCGGAACAUCUCAUAUGUUCUGCGACGUUUCAAAAACCGUCUUUGGUGCCACAAUUCUAAACCGUUAGCAUUACGCACUGAACUAUCACGUAGUCAUCAAAACGUGUAUGUCAGAUGUUUCGCAACAUCUACAGACGAUGCUGAGGUUCAGCACACCGAGCGGUGCAUUAAGGACAUAAGCCUUCUGUGCAGCAAUGAGGACAAUCCUCAGUUUACGGACCCAGUCCGCAUAAUUGCUACUACCAACUUUCAACUAAAUUUUCUCUAGGAACAUAUCUUAAACAGUAGAACUAAAGCGCAAGAUAUGACAUAAUAUGCAAAGACUUUUUGACUAUGUUCAUGAUAAUGAAGUUCAUCUGAUUAUUGAACUCCCACUCAGAUAGACAUCCCUCUAGUCAUCUAAGUGAUACAUGAUCCGAGUCAAACUAGGCCGUGUCCGAUCAUCACGUGAGACGGACUAGUCAUCAUCGGUGAACAUCUCCAUGUUGAUCGUAUCUUCUAUACGACUCAUGCUCGACCUUUCGGUCUCUUGUGUUCCGAGGCCAUGUCUGUACAUGCUAGGCUCGUCAAGUCAACCUAAGUGUUUUGCAUGUGUUCCGAGGCCAUGUCUGUACAUGCUAGGCUCGUCAACACCCGUUGUAUUCGAACGUUAGAAUCUAUCACACCCGAUCAUCACGUGGUGCUUCGAAACAACGAACCUUCGCAACGGUGCACAGUUAGGGGGAACACUUUCUUGAAAUUAUUAUAAGGGAUCAUCUUACUUACUACCGUCGUUCUAAGCAAAUAAGAUGCAUAACAUGAUAAACAUCACAUGCAAUCAAAUAGUGACAUGAUAUGGCCAAUAUCAUUUUGCUCCUUUGAUCUCCAUCUUCGGGGCACCACGAUCAUCUUUGUCACCGGCAUGACACCAUGAUCUCCAUCAUCAUGAUCUCCAUCAUUGUGUCUUCAUGAAGUUGUCACGCCAACGAUUACUUCUACUUCUAUGGCUAACGCGCUUAGCAAUAAAGUAAAGUAAUUUACAUGGCGUUAUUCAAUGACACGCAGGUCAUACAAAAAAUAAAGACAACUCCUAUGGCUCCUGCCGGUUGUCAUACUCAUCGACAUGCAAGUCGUGAUUCCUAUUACAAGAAUAUGAUCAAUCUCAUACAUCACAUAUAUCAUUCAUCACAUCUUCUGGCCAUAUCACAUCACAUAACACAUGCUGCAAAAAUAAGUUAGACGUCCUCUAAUUGUUGUUGCAAGUUUUUACGUGGCUUGUAUAGGUUUCUAGCAAGAACGUUUCUUACCUACGUAAAACCACAACGUGAUAUGCCAAUUUCUAUUUACCCUUCAUAAGGACCCUUUUCAUCGAAUCCGUUCCGACUAAAGUGGGAGAGACAGACACCCGCUAGCCACCUUAUGCAACUAGUGCAUGUCAGUCGGUGGAACCUGUCUCACGUAAGCGUACGUGUAAGGUCGGUCCGGGCCGCUUCAUUCCACAAUGCCACCGAAACAAGAUAAGACUAGUAGCGGCAAGAAGAAUUCGCAACAUCUACGCCCACAACUACUUUGUGUUCUACUCGUGCAUAGAAACUACGCAUAGACCUAGCUCAUGAUGCCGCUGUUGGGGAACGUAGCAGAAAUUCAAAAUUUUCUACGCAUCACCAAGAUCAAUCUAUGGAGUAAUCUAGCAACGAGGGGAAGGGGAGUGCAUCUACAUACCAUUGUAGAUCGCGAUGCGGAAGCGUUGCAAGAACGCGGAUGAAGGAGUCGUACUCGUAGCGAUUCAGAUCGCGGUUGAUUCCGAUCUAAGCACCGAAGAACGGUGCCUCCGCGUUCAACACACGUGCAGCCCGGUGACGUCUCCCACGCCUUGAUCCAGCAAGGAGAGAGAGAGAGGUUGGGGAAGACUCCAUCCAGCAGCAGCACGACGGCGUGGUGGUGGUGGAGGAGCGUGGCAAUCCCGCAGGGCUUCGCCAAGCACCGCGGGAGAGGAGGAGGAGGAAGAGGGGUAGGGCUGCGCCGAAAGAGAGACGUUCUCAUGUCUGUAUGGCAGCCCCAAACCUCAAGUAUAUAUAGGGGAGGGGGAGGGCUGCGCCCCCAUCUAGGGUCCCCCCCCCAAGGGGUGCGGCCAGCCCUAGAUGGGGCUUGGGGGGCGGCCAAAGGAGGGGAGAGAGGGGGCGCCCCACUAGAUGGGCCUUAGGCCCAUCUGAGACUAGGGUUUCCCCCCUUCCCCCUUUCCUGCGCCCUGGACCUCUUGUGGGGGGCGCACCAGCCCACCUGGGGCUGGUCCCCUCCCACACUUGGCCCAUGCAGCCCUCUGGGGCUGGUGGCCCCACUUGGUGGACCCCCGGGACCCUCCCGGUGGUCCCGGUACAUUACCGAUAUCACCCGAAACUUUUCCGGUGACCAAAACAGGACUUCCCAUAUAUAAAUCUUUACCUCCGGACCAUUCCGGAACUCCUCGUGACGUCCGGGAUCUCAUCCGGGACUCCGAACAACAUUCGGUAACCACGUACAUACUUUCCCUAUAACCCUAGCGUCACCGAACCUUAAGUGUGUAGACCCUACGGGUUCGGGAACCAUGCAGACAUGACCGAGACGUUCUCCGGUCAAUAACCAACAGCGGGAUCUGGAUACCCAUGUUGGCUCCCACAUGUUCCACGAUGAUCUCAUCGGAUGAACCACGAUGUCGGGGAUUCAAUCAAUCCCGUAUACAAUUCCCUUUGUCUAUCGGUAUGUUACUUGCCCGAGAUUCGAUCGUCGGUAUCCCGAUACCUUGUUCAAUCUCGUUACCGGCAAGUCUCUUUACUCGUUCCGUAACUCACAUCAUCCCGUGAUCAACUCCUUGGUCACACUGUGCACAUUAUGAUGAUGUCCUACCGAGUGGGCCCAGAGAUACCUCUCCGUUUACACGGAGUGACAAAUCCCAGUCUCGAUUCGUGCCAACCCAACAGACACUUUCGGAGAUACCUGUAGUGCACCUUUAUAGCCACCUAGUUAUGUUGUGACGUUUGGUACACCCAAAGCAUUCCUACGGUAUCCGGGAGUUGCACAAUCUCAUGGUCUAAGGAACUGAUACUUGACAUUAGAAAAGCUCUGAGCAAACGAACUACACGAUCUUGUGCUAGGCUUAGGAUUGGGUCUUGUCCAUCACAUCAUUCUCCUAAUGAUCUGAUCCCGUUAUCAACGACAUCCAAUGUCCAUGGUCAGGAAACCGCAACCAUCUAUUGAUCAACGAGCUAGUCAACUAGAGGCUUACUAGGGACAUGGUGUUGUCUAUGUAUCCACACAUGUAUCUGAGUUUCCUAUCAAUACAAUUCUAGCAUGGAUAAUAAACGAUUAUCAUGAACAAGGAAAUAUAAUAAUAACCUAUUUAUUAUUGCCUCUAGGGCAUAUUUCCAACAGCCGCGACGAGGGAGGCGUCGUCGUCCUCGAGGACAGCGACGACGAGGCACCGUCGCCGGCCAAACCAGUCCGCCAGGGCGAGCCCGGGCAGGGGUCCAGCAGGGACGGCCGUGUGGAGAAGGAGAAGGAGGACGACGGCGACUACACCGCCUUCAGCAAGUUCUUCGACAUGUAGGCGGCGCGGCAGCAGGCCUUUGUUUUUUAGUAGAUUUUAUGUUUUCUAUAUGUAAAAAACUGUGGAACACCUAAAUAUCGCCGAAUCUAUGUCGUGUUUGCCGAAUUUUGCCCGAAUGUCUUUUUAAAAUUAUUUACCAAAAGGGCGUCUGGGGGCGACCUGGGGGCGGCGGCUGGGAAUCCGAUCACCCCCACACCGAAAAUAUCGCCGGUUCGCCCCCAAGCGGCGAUUUUUUCUAGCCCCUGGGGGGCGAACAGCUGGAGAUGCUCUUAAAUCAUGCGAAAAUCUUGCUGAUUUGUUUAUCAAGUCUCUACCAAAUUCUACAUUACAAAAAUAUGUUCAUGGAAUUGGUAUGCGACGACUUCGAGACUUGCAAGUAUUAGGGGGAGUCUCUUCUUGAGAUAUCCUUGUUCAAACAUCACAUUACGUUGUUUCUCUUUGUGAGUUUGUGUUUCAGGUGCUCAUCAAAGAUUUUUAUGAAGAACUUUUGGACAAGAAUCUUUUUGAGAUAAUAGAGCUAUCUGGACAAUCGUGAGAUGAUUCUACAUGGUCAAGCGUAGAUUAGGGGGAGGGGUGUUAAGAUUAAUUGUAAUUAGGGAAAAUCUCCCCUUGCCCAACUGUCGUUGCGCUUUCUCCCGCAACGAACGCCUCCCCCUCUUGUAUCCCUGGAACCGACGUCCCCUCGAUGGAUCAUCGCGUCUCUCCCUGAUGGCUUUCUCUCACAAUAAUCAUGCAAAAAAACAUUACAUCAUUUACAACAUGAUGUAAAGUUACGGUCGUCAACCGAUGGAGAAGAGCUACAACUUUGCAUUAGUGUGUGAUUCGGCUUUGAAAUAUGACGAUUUGACUUUGAAACAUGGCAAUUCGGCUUUGCAUGAAUGACAUCUAGCCUUAUAGUGUCCUUGCAGUGUCCCAUCUCAACUUAUAGUGGAGGCGCCCAACAUUGCAACAACUACCUGACUUGCAACAACGCCACCUAGCCUUUGUAGCGGCACGGGUCCUUGCUUGCAACAUCAGUGGCACCUCGAGCUUGCAAUGGCUCCAACCAGACUUCACAACGAUGCGGUACCCGUCUGUGGCGGCGGUAGCCGGUAUUGAAGCACCGGCCAGCUUUGUAGUGGCGUGCUCCCCUACACGCAACACGUGCAAAAAAAUGUUUCUAGCAUGGUGAAACAUUUCCACAUACACUUCACGGGUAUGUGAUCGUAUUUUGGAAAGGAAACAUUUUUUGUCAAUCACAUUCAACAUGAAAAUUAUGUGUAUACAACAAAUUCUCUAGUGGCAAUAAAAUGUUCACAACGCAUGUAACAUGAAAAAUUAACACAAGCAACAUAAAACAAUUAAUAUGGAACAUGUAUGCAUUCCCGAAAAAACUUCACAACACAUGUCAUGCUUACACAAUAAACAAGAAAACAUGCUCUGCCCAUGUGUGUUCGACUUGUAGCGGCAAAGGAAACCGCCCUUACAAGGUCACAUGCCAUGUUUGCAGCGUGACAGGCUGCCUUUGGAACACAAAAGAACAGCGCGACAUGCUCGCAACAUCGACACACUUCAUCAGCAACAUCGGCACAAUUUGGGUGGUGAUAUGGUAGGAUGGUCAACAAGUCAAGUACUCCCUCCGUUCCAAAAUAGACGACUCAACUUUGUACUAAUUUUAGUACAAAGUUAGUAUAAAGUUAGGUCAUCUAUUUUGGAACGGAGGGAGUAGAUGCCAGUUACAACCAACAAAAACAAAUACAAUCUCCACCAACAAGUCAAGUAGAUGCCAAUAAUCAAGACAUCUACAACUUAUUAAUUUAAAGUUUUAAAUGUACAAUGCAAAAAAACCAUACAAACAAAACUGUAUCAUUCUCCCUUACUGAUGAAAGAACUAUAUACGAAGCAAAAUGAGUGAAUCUACAUUUUAAAAUUUGUCUAUAUCCGUAUAUAGUUUAUAGUGGAAUAAGACUUACAUUUAAGAACGGAGGGAGUACUAAUUAAGAGGACUCAGAAUAUGGGUGGUGAUAUAGCAGGAUGGUCGGCAAGGCAAAUAAAUGCCAGUUACGACGAACAAGACCAAAUAUCCAUCUUCACCGUCCUCUACAAUAAAUUCAGACAUGAGGUUGCAAAACAUAACAAGCAAAAUAACACACAAAUUGUUUGAUUCUCCCGAGAAAGGGAAGGUUGUACGGUCGUCAGAUAGGAGCAAGAUCAUUGGCCUCAUAGAGAAGAUUAGAUCGUUCCACAUGAAGAAAAUUCAGACAUAUCCUUGUCUAUAAUUUNNNNNNNNNNNNNNNNNNNNNNNNNNNNNNNNNNNNNNNNNNNNNNNNNNNNNNNNNNNNNNNNNNNNNNNNNNNNNNNNNNNNNNNNNNNNNNNNNNNNNNNNNNNNNNNNNNNNNNNNNNNNNNNNNNNNNNNNNNNNNNNNNNNNNNNNNNNNNNNNNNNNNNNNNNNNNNNNNNNNNNNNNNNNNNNNNNNNNNNNNNNNNNNNNNNNNNNNNNNNNNNNNNNNNNNNNNNNNNNNNNNNNNNNNNNNNNNNNNNNNNNNNNNNNNNNACUCGGAAUAUGGGUGGUGAUAUAACAGAUGGUCGGCAGGCAAGAAGAUGCCAGUUACGACGAACGAGACAAAAUAUCAAUAGUCGCCAUACUAAACCCCGAUGCAAAAUCCCCCAAGAACAACCAAAAAGACAGGUUGACAACAAGCACACAGAAUUGCAGCUUGCUCCAGACACAAAAUCCUGCAGUUUCUAGUGAAAGCAAGCAUGCUUUAUACGCUGGAAUGAGGCAGUCUCAGCUACAAGCUUGCAGAAUCUCACGACAAAAAUGGUGAUAAGAGAUGUAGGAAGGUUGGUAAGCGGGUUGCCCAUUAACAUGGGCAGGCCGACCAGAUUUCCUUCCUUGGUAGUUUGACACAGCCGAAUCUGGCAAAGCAAGACGAUGGUACAAAGAACCCAGGCCUUGGUACAAUGCAGCCCUGAUGCUCAUGCUUUAAUAGAUGAACAAAUGGUUCUGAAAUGCAAUGGUGAGCAGUCAGACAAUGCUUUCUAGGCAAAUGCAUCUCCAUCAGAACACAGCAAUGUUUGCUGCUCGGAGCCCAGUGCAUAUCUUCUUCCAUACCACACAACCAAGCUAUAACUCAAAAAAGAAAGGGAAGAGUUGCGAUGGAAUCUGUAGCCCUCAAUUUUUUUUGGAUCGUGCGCUGUCCAAAAAAUUAUUAACAUAUUUUAAAGAAUGCAAGACGGUUCAACUAGUAGACACUAAAAAGCUGUUCAAUUUGGCUUCAGAAUUGCAGAAAGACAGCAUGGACACAUAGCAACCGAUCAGUCCCAAAAGAUGGUAUGAUUAAUAGGUUUUUCAUCACUGGCCAAGCAUGAACAAAUAUGCCUCUAAAAUUUCAGCAUACAUCAAAUCUGAACUAACACAACACGCUAGUCCUGCACGCAGAGCUCAAAAGAUGCAAAUCUGAAGGCAUUGAAUAAGCUUCCAGGCAUCAUAUAGUUUCCUAAAUUUUCAUCAAAAGAAAAGCGUGAUACCAAAGGCAUAAAAACAACAAUGAGAUGCAUUUGAAAUGAGAGGAAAAUGAUUGUUGGCGAAAGAGAUUAUCAAGCUCAACCCAACUGCCCAUUUUCCUCAAAUUAAUAUAGCAGGAAACACUUUCAGUAAGAAAUGCACAUCAAAAGGCAUUUAACCGAUACACACUUAUCCUGCAAAGGCAACAAGCGAGAAAAAAGUGAAACCACUUUGUAUGCAAAGCAGAUGGAUUCAGAAGCACUCAUCCCAUAUGAAGGAUAAUGAGAGGAAAAUGAUUGUUGGCAAAAGAGAUUAUCAAGCUCAACACAGCAAAAGGCAUUUAACUGAUACACACUUAGCCGACAAAGGCAACAAGGGAGAAAAAAGUGAAACAAAUUCGUAUGCAAUGCAGAUAGAUUCAGAAGCAUUCAUCCCAUAUGAAGAACAGAAAAAGGCAAGCAUAUUCUUAUGCUGUCAUGGAAACAUACAACAAUGGCGCAAAAAUACACAGAAGUGUCAGAUUAGAUGAGAGGAAAGUGAUUGUUGAAGAAAGCAUAUAAAGGCCUAAACAAGCUGUUCACUUUCCCCCCAUUGGUAUAGGAUGGAAAACUAUCAGCAGUACAUAAAAAGUGUUCCUGGAAAUUGCAGCAAGCUUAGCCAUUGCCACAGAGCAUGGAAAUUGCAAGACAACUCGGGGUAAUCUGAAGUUACUAUGUGCCACAAGGUUUUCAUGAUGCAUUUGGUGGCAAGGCAUAAAAAACAGAUGUGCAUACACAAUGGCUAAAACAUACACAGCAGAUCAACCACAUAGAACCAAUAUUCAACUACCAGCAUAGUCAUUAAUCCAAAACAGUAGGUGCUAAGCUUAGCACAUCUAAGAACGAAAUUUAAGAGUAACAAGUUUUCUCAUGGACCAAAAUAAGACCACUGUAUCAAGACAAGGCAGUUCAACUCUUUAAUCCACAAAAACAGAUCAUAAAACAGAAAAGAAACAUUAUCUAGAUAAAGCAAGAUGGCCCAUUAUACCCUUCAAGCAGCAGCAGCGUCUGCACUCUUCUCACCGUCACCACCCUGAGUAGUUGCUUUAUUAGCCUCUGCCUCGGCAGCAGCAUCCAUCUCCUGUGCAGUAGCAUCAACAUCAUCUGUAGCCGGACGAAUCUGCUCCUCCUCUGGAAGUGGCUCUUCAACAUAAUCGUUCUCAAAUGCAUCAUUAGGAACCUGAUAGAUCCUCAUCUGUGGCUUUGCAGGAUCUUUCACAAGCACAUACUUGCCCUCUUCAAACUUCAUGCAUAUGUCCACAAUCGACUUGACAAUUCCCCACAUGUUUGCAGUGUUGAGGUUGAUCUGGGUAGCAAAAUCCCUUGGCUUGUAGCCCAUCACAGUGAGUAUGGAGUGGUUGAAGUGGUCGCGGGGGUGCACACGUGACACAUAACCCAACUUCAUCAUGUCUGCGCCAGAAAGUAAAGCCUGGGCAGUCCAGCGAGCGAGCUUGUUGGCAUUGUUCUUGAGCUCUGUAGCAAGCACAGCUCCGCGCUGGGACUCGAGCUUCUGCUUCCAGUCAACACCAGUAAUCUUAGGAUCAAACUCAUUGAGUGCAUUAAGAGUGAGGAACUGGCGAGCACCACUCGGAUCAACACCGGCAGCAUGCACUUCACAGCGAGCAAUGAUGCUAAUAUCAUCGUCCAGCUUCCAGCGGCGAUAACGGUAGCAAACAGGCGCCGCCUCCUCAUUCUCAGAAGCAAACGGGUUAGGCUCAUCAAAGGUAACCUUCUCGCCAUCACGUACCAGCACCUGCUGCGAGAAGUUCUGGUUGAUGUAGGUGGCCUCGACAGCAAGAGCCGGCGCGGAAUUGAUGUCAUCCUUGUUCUCAGGGAGCUGCUCCUGCGCAGUCUCGUUGACAGUGAGCAGAUCGAGCUGGGAGCCCUCGCGCUUGUCGAAGAAGAGCUUGUUGCCGACGCGCUGCACGACAAUGUCCCAGGAGAGGAUGCUGCGGGGUGUGCACAUGAGGGCGGCGAGGAUGGCGUCGGUGGCGAAGACGGUGGCCUUGUCCUCCUCGGCGAGGCGGCGGAUGAUGGGGUCGUCGGUGGUGGUGAUCUUGAAGAACUGGCGGUUCUUGAAGCGCUCGAGGCGGCGGGCCGUCUUGGGGUUGACGCGGUCGUAGGCGCGGUCGUACGAGUCGACGGCGCCGCAGACGAGGAGGUCCUCGGGCUGGUCGUUGACGGCGAAGGAGAGCUUGGUGAAGUUGGCGAAGGGGAUCUGCUCGAGGAUGGUCCAGUCGGGCUGGAUGUCGACCGAGGGCUUGGCGGUGUUCUGCUGGUUGCCGCGGAAGCCCUGGUGGUGGUGGGAGCGGUGGUUCUGGUAGUGGCGCUCGCGGCGGGCGCGCUCCUUCUCGGCCUCGCGGCGCUUGGCCUCGACCUCCUCGUCGCGGCGCUGGGGGAGCUGGGGCCGCUGGUUGAAGCGCCACUUGGGCCCGAAGCGCGGGUGCUUGGGCGGCGGCUUGGCGUCCACGAGGCUGAAGGACGAGUCCUCGGCGGCGGCGGCGAGCGAGUCGUCGGCCGAGGAGAAGUCGAAGACCGAGUCGCGGGAGGCGGCGGCCGCGUGGUGGCCGUGCGCGCCCGGGUGGCCCGGGUUGCGCGUCCAGUCGGCGAUGCGGCCCAGCUUGUCGGAGCGGGAGAAGGGCGCGAAGGGGAUGGAGGCCGUCGCGACGGCCCCGCCCAGCAGCGGCGCCGCGCCCGGGGCGUCGGGAGGGCCCCAGCCGUCCGGGUUGAAGGGGACGACGCCCACGUCGAAGCCCAUGGUCGCGGCGGCGGCGGCGGUGCGGGUGGAUCCGGAGGCGGAGGGAGGCGGCGGCGGUGUGGGUUAGGGUUGGGUGGGACGCGAUGGAGGAGGACGGGACGACGAGGCUUUAGGGUUUGGGUAAGCGAAUAUUUAUUUUCUGAGUGGCCUCUACCGGGCCUAUGGCCCACAUAUCAGCGUGUACUCCGUGGACUCGCAUGUCGGCGUCCGAUCCCGGCCCGUUAAACAAGUGGAAUAUUUCUCCACAUGAAAAAAAGAAUCUGAUAUCUCUUGACUCAAUAUUUUUUAUCAGAUCUCUGUUUUUUCUAAAGAAUCUAUCAGAUCUCUGUUUUCUUAUAUACAUAAAAAUGAAAUCAUAUCUCUCAACUUUUGGCUAUGUUUUUUUCAAAAACAAAAACAGAUUUUAGGUGAUUGGCAGUGCUUGGAUUUACUAUAAGUCCGGAAGAAACGUUCUCCAGUUAUCUUGUUAUAGUUCGGACCAUGUUUUGAAAUCAUGUCAUGAACACGUUUGGAAUUCGGAAAUUUCGAGCGAAACCGUUAUGUGGUACCAAGACACCAUAGACCAACACACCAAACAGGAUUACAGGACUCCUUCACAAAACCGCACUGUUCAAACAGAAAACCUUACAGUGCGUGAGGAAACAUCCCAGGUUUCAGACAGCAGGCAGCCGGUUCAGCACGGUACCGUCAGCACUGCAGGACGGAGAAACUAGCACAGUACCAGCAUAAAUUUCAGGCUCUCACGCUUUUAUUCUGUCCGAGUCCGACUCGGACGACACUCGGUGCGACAUCAUCAUAAUGUUCCCGAUCCCAUACCGAACUGUUACAGGCAUCAACAGCCAUGGAAUGGCAUAGCGCGGUGGAUAACAGCAUGUCUGCGACACUUCAGUUCAAAAUUCAGCAGGCGUUACACGACGUCCGGAAUACUUAUUACUAGAGCAACGAGACGGCAUGGGCGCAGCAAAUGGCAGAGUUCCGUUCAAAAAAGGCAUGGGAGCUACUCGGUGGAUUCCUUGUUCUCGGCGGCCUUGGCCUCCUCG
rnacentral:lncRNA from 1 species